CUUGGUGUCUAUGGAGAAGGAGGUACACCUGUUCCCAUCUCGAACACAGCAGUUAAGCCCUUCAUCGCCGAUGAUACUUAGGCUAGACCUUGGUAAAGUAGGACGACGCCAAGA
rnacentral:rRNA from 3 species